AUUAAAAGCAAGAGAAGAGAGAAAGGAGAAGAAGAAGAAAAAGGAGAAGAGCAAGGGAGGAAGAAGAAGGGAGGAAGCAAGGUUCUCUUACCAAGUAAGAUGUAAAUUCAGGGAACCUAGAGACUGUGGCUGAGGAGUCGGCCCUCUAUAGAGGUAUCCUCUGGGACGAGGAGCUGAUCAUGCACGAGGACGGUUGUGUAUGCGAUGAUUGUGCUUUUGGAGCACGCUUAGGAUGAGAGUAUCAUCUUCCCUUUUUAUUUUUUUUUUUACAUAUCAGAUGUAGCCCUAGGGUCAUAAAUGUAAUUAAUAUUCUACUGUGAAAAUAUUUUGAUAAAUAUGAUAAAUAUUAUUAGACUCCACCAAUUAUGCA